rnacentral:rRNA from 1 species
UACGGAGGGAGCUAGCGUUGUUCGGAAUUACUGGGCGUAAAGGGCUCGUAGGCGGCCAACUAAGUCAGACGUGAAAUCCCUCGGCUUAACCGGGGAACGGCCUCUGAUACUGGCUGGCUGGAGUUCGGGAGAGGGAUGCGGAAUUCCAGGUGUAGCGGUGAAAUGCGUAGAUAUCUGGAGGAACACCGGUGGCGAAGGCGGCAUCCUGGACCGACACUGACGCUGAGGCACGAAAGCGUGGGGAGCAAACAGG